AUACGUAGGUGGCGAGCGUUGUCCGGAAUUACUGGGCGUAAAGGGCGUGCAGGCGGUUUUUUAAGUCAGAUGUGAAACCCCGGGGCUUAACUCCGGGAUUGCAUUUGAAACUGAAGGGCUUGAGUGCAGGAGAGGUAAGUGGAAUUCCUAGUGUAGCGGUGAAAUGCGUAGAUAUUAGGAGGAACACCAGUGGCGAAGGCGACUUACUGGACUGUAACUGACGCUGAGGCGCGAAAGCGUGGGGAGCAAACAGGAUUAGAUACCCUGGUAGUCCACGCUGUAAACGAUGGAUACUAGGUGUGGGAGGUAUCGACCCCUUCCGUGCCGCAGUUAACGCAAUAAGUAUCCCGCCUGGGGAGUACGGCCGCAAGGUUGAA
rnacentral:rRNA from 1 species